AAUAAUAAUAAUAAUAAAUGAUAAUAAAAUUAAAAUGUAUAUAUUAAUUAAUAAAAAUUUAGUUAGUUUAAUUAAUUCAGUUAUUAAAUUAGAGGUAGCCGAAUUGAUAAAUGAAAAUUUUAGAGAUUACUAGUUGAACCAAAGCGAAAACCAAACAUUAUCUCACCAAAAUAAUUUAAUUUCAUCAGUUUGGUCAUGUUAUUCAGUUAUAGCUGAAUAAUGCAUACUCUAGUUGUCCUUGUUUAUUUGAGUGUUUUUAUAUGAUCCCAAUUUAAGGCUUAAUUGAGUUACAAAUACUGGAAUCUGGUUUUAACUUUCCUGAAGUAUUAAAUUCUCAUCUGUUUGAUUUUUUGAGCAAAUAGCCGUUACCUUACAUCUUGAUGGGGUUGUUCUUUCCUCUU
rnacentral:misc_RNA from 1 species